AAUAAGCGUAGUUUUACACUAUUCAUCUCCAACGUUUAACCGUUCAUCUUAUUUGAAAAAAAUUCAUGAUUAUUAUUUUUAUUAUUAUUAGAUGAUAAAACAUGAAUAAUACUUUAUGUGUGACUAAUUUUUUUUAAUUUUUUUAUAAAUUAUUUUAAAUAAAACGGACGGUUAAACGUUGGACAUGGAUUUUUACGAGUGCAAUUAUU
rfam:Oryza barthii chromosome 1, whole genome shotgun sequence.